rnacentral:rRNA from 1 species
UACGUAGGGGCCGAGCGUUGUCCGGAUUCAUUGGGCGUAAAGAGCGUGUAGGCGGCCGCUUAAGUCCUGCGUGAAAUCUCGGAGCUCAACUCCGAGCGGUCGUGGGAAACUGGGCGGCUAGAGUGCGGGAGAGGAGAGUGGAAUUUUAUGUGGAGCGGUAAAAUGCGUAGAUAUAUAAAAGAACAUCAAUUGGCGAAGGCAGUUAACUAUUCUGCUACUGACAUUGAGGCAUGAAAGCGUGGGGAGCAAAACGG